rnacentral:rRNA from 1 species
AGCGCACACGGUGGAUGCCUUGGCGGUCAGAGGCGAUGAAGGACGUGGCAGCCUGCGAAAAGUAUCGGGGAGCUGGCAACAAGCUUUGAUCCGGUAAUGUCCGAAUGGGGAAACCCACCCGCUUGCGGGUAUCCUGCAGUGAAUACAUAGCUGCUGGAAGCGAACCUGGUGAACUGAAAUAUCUAAGUAACCAGAGGAAAAGAAAUCAACCGAGAUUCCGUAAGUAGCGACGAGCGAACGCGGACUAGCCCUUAAGCUGGAUUGGUUCUAGGAAAACGCUCUGGAAAGAGCGGCCAUAGAAGGUGAUAGCCCUGUAUCUGAAAGGGCCAUUCCAGUGAAGACGAGUAGGGCGGGGCACGUGAAACCCUGUCUGAACAUGGGGGGACCAUCCUCCAAGGCUAAAUACUACUGACCGACCGAUAGUGAACCAGUACCGUGAGGGAAAGGCGAAAAGAACCCCGGAGAGGGGAGUGAAAUAGAACCUGAAACCGUGUGCGUACAAGCAGUAGGAGCUCCGCAAGGAGUGACUGCGUACCUUUUGUAUAAUGGGUCAGCGACUUACUGUUCGUGGCAAGCUUAACCGUAUAGGGGAGGCGAAGGGAAACCGAGUCUGAUAAGGGCGCAUAGUCGCGGGCAGUAGACCCGAAACCGGGUGAUCUAGUCAUGCCCAGGGUGAAGGUGCGGUAACACGCACUGGAGGCCCGAACCCACUCCCGUUGCAAAGGUAGGGGAUGAGGUGUGAUUAGGAGUGAAAAGCUAAUCGAACCCGGAGAUAGCUGGUUCUCCUCGAAAGCUAUUUAGGUAGCGCCUCAUAUGUAUCCUCUCGGGGGUAGAGCACUGUUAUGGCUAGGGGGUCAUCGCGACUUACCAAACCAUUGCAAACUCCGAAUACCGAGACGGACUGUAUGGGAGACACACGGCGGGUGCUAACGUCCGUCGUGAAAAGGGAAACAACCCAGACCCACAGCUAAGGUCCCAAAUUCACUGCUAAGUGGAAAACCAUGUGGAAAGGCACAGACAGCCAGGAGGUUGGCUUAGAAGCAGCCACCCUUUAAAGAAAGCGUAAUAGCUCACUGGUCGAGUCGGUCUGCGGGGAAGAUUUAACGGGGCUAAGCAGUGAACCGAAGCUUGGGGUGCAUAACUUUGUUAUGCGCGGUAGAGGAGCGUUCCGUAAGCCGUUGAAGGUGGAUUGAGAAGUCUGCUGGAGGUAUCGGAAGUGCGAAUGCUGACAUGAGUAACGAUAAUGCGGGUGAAAAACCCGCACGCCGAAAGCCCAAGGUUUCCUUGCGCAACGUUAAUCGGCGCAGGGUGAGUCGGCCCCUAAGGCGAGGACGAAAGUCGUAGUCGAUGGGAAGCAGGUUAAUAUUCCUGCACCUCGCGUAAGUGCGAUGGAGGGACGGAGAAGGUUAGGUGUACCAGGCGUUGGUUGUCCUGGGGAAAGGCGGUAGGUUUGGAUCUUUGGCAAAUCCGGGAUCCUUUAAGACCGAGCACCGAGACGAGCCUUUAUGGCGAAGUCACUGAUACCACGCUUCCAGGAAAAGCUCCUAAGCUUCAGCUUACGCAGACCGUACCGUAAACCGACACAGGUGGGUAGGAUGAGAAUUCUCAGGCGCUUGAGAGAACUCGGGUGAAGGAACUAGGCAACAUGGCACCGUAACUUCGGGAGAAGGUGCACCCUUUUUGGUGGCUCGUGCGAGCUAUAGCUGAAGAGGGUCGCAGUAACCAGGCCGCUGCGACUGUUUAUCAAAAACACAGCACUCUGCAAACACGAAAGUGGACGUAUAGGGUGUGACGCCUGCCCGGUGCUGGAAGGUUAAUUGAUGGGGUCAGCCGCAAGGCGAAGCUCUUGAUCGAAGCCCCAGUAAACGGCGGCCGUAACUAUAACGGUCCUAAGGUAGCGAAAUUCCUUGUCGGGUAAGUUCCGACCUGCACGAAUGGCGUAACGACAGCGGCGCUGUCUCCACCCGAGACUCAGUGAAAUUGAAAUCGCUGUGAAGAUGCAGCGUUCCCGUGGCAAGACGGAAAGACCCCGUGAACCUUUACUAUAGCUUUACACUGAACGUUGAGUUCGUCUGUGUAGGAUAGGUGGGAGGCUAUGAAACUGUGGCGCUAGCUGCAGCGGAGCCAUCCUUGAAAUACCACCCUGUCGUGCUUGACGUUCUAACCUGGGCCCAUUAUCUGGGUCGGGGACCGUGUAUGGUGGGUAGUUUGACUGGGGCGGUCUCCUCCUAAAGAGUAACGGAGGAGCUCGAAGGUACGCUCAGCGCGGUCGGACAUCGCGCACUGUGUGCAAAGGCAUAAGCGUGCUUGACUGCAAGAUCGACGGAUCAAGCAGGUAGGAAACUAGGACUUAGUGAUCCGGUGGUUCUGUAUGGAAGGGCCAUCGCUCAACGGAUAAAAGGUACUCCGGGGAUAACAGGCUGAUACCGCCCAAGAGUUCAUAUCGACGGCGGUGUUUGGCACCUCGAUGUCGGCUCAUCACAUCCUGGGGCUGUAGUCGGUCCCAAGGGUAUGGCUGUUCGCCAUUUAAAGUGGUACGCGAGCUGGGUUCAGAACGUCGUGAGACAGUUCGGUCCCUAUCUGCCAUGGGCGUUGGAGAUUUGAGAGGGGCUGCUCCUAGUACGAGAGGACCGGAGUGGACGAACCUCUGGUGUUCCGGUUGUCACGCCAGUGGCAUUGCCGGGUAGCUAUGUUCGGAAGCGAUAACCGCUGAAAGCAUCUAAGCGGGAAGCGCGCCUCAAGAUGAGAUCUCCCGGGGCACAAGCCCCCUGAAGGAACCAUGUAGACUACGUGGUUGA